ensembl:lncRNA
CCAGGAGACCGUGGACAGUGUAGACACUGUGGAGAGAGUCGAUACUGGGGAUCAGCCCUUGCCCUCCUCCACUUCUGACGCUGGGACACAAUGUUAUUUGAAGCCCCCCCGAUGGUCUCACUGUAAAUCUUUGGUAUUUUAAGGGGUAGAUAUUAUGUCUAAAACAUUGCAAGCAGGACAUUUCCAUACACAUUGAUGAAAUGAAUACAUAGCCUACACCAAAACAUAGCCGCUUAGAUUUGCCAUGAUUGUCAUAUGUUUGGGUAUGUUUACUGCCUCUGCCACAGCUGUGCAGGUUAACCUGAAGCCAAAGAUGGUUAGCGUGGGCACACAGACUUCAUUCAGCCCACAAACCUCCACUCCCCUCGCUAGUCCUGAACAGACAGUUGACGAUGAUGAUGAUAAUGCCACUGUCGUCAGUGACUUUUCGUGGGUGCCCGAAGAGCCGAUGGAUGAGGAGGAAUUGUUUGAUGAGGAGCCACCUUACACGUGUGACCCCCACCACAAUUGCAUUGACAAAUUCAUUGUUUGCCAAGAGGAGCCGAUGGGCCUUUUUGCCAUCUGUCCGGCCUGUUGUGAGAGGUCGGAUAGUAGCAUCGUGCAGCAGGAAGGAACUUUUGUUAAGAUCAAGCAGGUCUGUGCAUCAUGUGGCUACCACCGUUUCUGGCAAAACCAGCCAAUGCUCCACAGGAACAUGCCAACCUGCAACCUCCUGUUAAGUGGGGCCAUUCAUUUUACUGGAUGUUUGGCCACACAGACACUAAGAAUGUUUUCCUUGUUUGGCCUGCAGUGCAUCAGUGCGAGCAAUUUCUUUCGCCAUCAGCGCCACUACACCAUCCCUGUAAUCGUUCAGGCCUGGCAGAAUGAUCAAGCCAAGAAUUUUAGUGACCUACGGGCAAUGGAUGGCGGGCUAGUUCUUGCUGGUGACUGCAGUUAAACCAAUAGCUCAGAGGUCCCCAACAGCUCAUGGUGUGAGCUUGAAGGGCUCAAGCGCAGUGUUGGCCUGCUGAGGGGAAACGACCUGCAUUUGGCAACGCUGAUCACGGACCGACAUCGCCAGGUAUUUACAAUAAAAAUGCAGUAUAGAAUGUAAAUAUCUGAAUUGCACUGAAGCUGGAUGUUUGUGGUUUUUUUCUCCUAGGUUUUUACUCCUACGUUUUCUGUCUGUGUGUCUGUCUGCCUCCCUGCCUACCUGUCUUGGUCUUUGCAGGCUCAUUGGCAGCAGUCAAGUUGGAGAACAUAAUGAUGAGGACUGCCUUACUGAAAGAUGUUCGACAGCUGUCUCCACAGCACCAGACCUUCUCCCUUGAGGCUUACCACUCCCUCAUCUUGCACUUCGCGCCCAAGCACACAGGGUUUUCAUACCUUGGGAUGUAUAGCAGGCUUCUCUUAGCGGCGCUGCAUUAUAAUUAUUGCAGUAUUCUUCGAAGAAAGUUGUCCAAUCCCGGUUUGCUUUUAACUCACUUUAUUUGUUACAAAGUAGGCAUGUUUCGGUAUGGUAACUAUGAAGCUUAAGGGAGGGAAUUGUAUCAAACGCGUGGAGAGGAAAAUACCGU